AGCCUUAAGAAAAAUUUAAGGUAAGCCCUGCCCGGUGAAUAUUUAACGGCCGCAGUACUUUGACUGUGCUAAGGUAGCAAAAUCAAUUGGCUUUUAAAUGGAGUCGGGUAUGAAGGGGUCUAUGAAGAAAUGCUGUCUUUUAUUUGUUUACCUGAACUUUCUUAUUGGGCGAAAAAUCCCAUGUAAAGAAAAAAGACGAGAAGACCCUGAGAGUUUUUGAAAAGUAAAAGGUGGAGCCUCGCGAAUUUUUGUUGGGGCAACAAGGAAACAAAAAAUUUUCCUUAGUUUUACUAGGUUUUGUUGGGAGAGAAAAAACUACCUCAGGGAUAACAGCAUAAUUUAAGAAAGUUUGUGACCUCGAUGUUGGACUAGGAACUAAAUGGCUAGUAGCCAAUAUAGUGCGUUCUGUUCGAACAAUGCUUCCUACAU
rnacentral:rRNA from 1 species